rnacentral:rRNA from 1 species
AACGAACGCUGGCGGCAUGCCUAACACAUGCAAGUCGAACGAGACCUUCGGGUCUAGUGGCGCACGGGUGCGUAACGCGUGGGAACCUGCCCUUAGGUUCGGAAUAACUCCCCGAAAGGGGUGCUAAUACCGGAUAAUGUCUUCGGACCAAAGAUUUAUCGCCUUUGGAUGGGCCCGCGUUGGAUUAGCUAGUUGGUAGGGUAAAAGCCUACCAAGGCGACGAUCCAUAGCUGGUCUGAGAGGAUGAUCAGCCACACUGGGACUGAGACACGGCCCAGACCCCUCCGGGAGGCGGCAGUGGGGAAUAUUGGACAAGGGGCGAAAGCCUGACCCCGCAAGGCCGGGGGAGUGAUGAAGGCCUUAGGGUUGUAAAGCUCUUUUCCCCGGGAUGAUAAUGACAGUCCCGGGAGAAAAAGCCCCGGCUAACUCCGU